UGCCACAAAAGUGGGUUAGGUUAGGUUAGAACUGCGACCAUUGUAAAAACGAACUGCUGUCAAAAAUGGGUUAGGUUAGGUUAGAACUGCGAUCCUCGCCAAAACGAACUGUAGCCACAAAAGUGGGUUAGGUAAGGUUAGAACUGUGACCCUCGCAAAAACGAACUGCUGCCACAAAAGUGGGUUAGGUUAGGUUAGAACUGCGACCAUUGUAAAAA